rnacentral:snRNA from 1 species
GUGCUCACUUCAGCAGCACAUAUACUAAAAUUGGAAUGAUACAGCAUGGCCCCUGCACAAGGUUGAUAUACAAAAUUUAUGAAGCGUUCCAUAUUUAA